rnacentral:rRNA from 1 species
AGAGUUUGAUCAUGGCUCAGGAUGAACGCUAGCUACAGGCUUAACACAUGCAAGUCGAGGGGCAGCAUGUUGGUUGCUUGCAACCAAUGAUGGCGACCGGCGCACGGGUGAGUAACGCGUAUCCAACCUACCCUUGUCCAUCGGAUAACCCGUCGAAAGGCGGCCUAACACGAUAUGCGGUUCACAGCAGGCAUCUAAGGUGAACGAAAUGUGAAGGAGAAGGAUGGGGAUGCGUCUGAUUAGCUUGUUGGCGGGUAACGGCCCACAAGGCUACGAUCAGUAGGGGUUCUGAGAGGAAGGUCCCCACAUUGGAACUGAGACACCGGUCAAACUCCUACGGGAGGCA